ACCUCUGUAGCUCAGUUGGUUAGAGCGUUGCACCGGAAUCGCAGGGCCGCAGGUUUGAUUCCUGCCAGAGGGC
rnacentral:tRNA from 1 species